rnacentral:rRNA from 1 species
AACGCGAAGAACCUUACCAGGUCUUGACAUCCCCAUGAAAAGGCUAGAGAUAGCCUCCCUCUUCGGAGCAUGGGAGACAGGUGGUGCAUGGUUGUCGUCAGCUCGUGUCGUGAGAUGUUGGGUUAAGUCCCGCAACGAGCGCAACCCUUAUCCCUAGUUGCCAUCGGGUCAAGCCGGGCACUCUAGUGAAACUGCCUCGGAUAACGAGGAGGAAGGUGGGGAUGACGUCAAGUCCUCAUGGCCUUUAUGUCCAGGGCUACACACGUGCUACAAUGGUCGGUACAAACCGUCGCAAACCCGUGAGGGGGAGCUAAUCGGAAAAAGCCGGCCUCAGUUCGGAUUGGAGUCUGCAACUCGACUCCAUGAAGCUGGAAUCGCUAGUAAUCGCGGAUCAGAACGCCGCGGUGAAUACGUUCCCGGGCCUUGUACACACCGCUACAGU